rnacentral:rRNA from 1 species
AGUGAACGCUGGCGGUAGGCCUAACACAUGCAAGUCGAACGGCAGCACAGUAAGAGCUUGCUCUUACGGGUGGCGAGUGGCGGACGGGUGAGGAAUACAUCGGAAUCUACUUUUUCGUGGGGGAUAACGUAGGGAAACUUACGCUAAUACCGCAUACGACCUACGGGUGAAAGCAGGGGAUCUUCGGACCUUGCGCGAUUGAAUGAGCCGAUGUCGGAUUAGCUAGUUGGCGGGGUAAAGGCCCACCAAGGCGACGAUCCGUAGCUGGUCUGAGAGGAUGGUCAGCCACACUGGAACUGAGACACGGUCCAGACUCCUAAGGGAGGCAGCAGUGGGGAAUAUUGGACAAUGGGCGCAAGCCUGAUCCAGCCAUACCGCGUGGGUGAAGAAGGCCUUCGGGUUGUAAAGCCCUUUUGUUGGGAAAGAAAAGCAGCAGGUUAAUACCCCGCUGUUCUGACGGUACCCAAAGAAUAAGCACCGGCUAACUUCGUG